UGAGGAAUAUUGGGCAAUGCCCGCAAGGGUGACCCAGCAACGCCGCGUGGAGGAUGAAUGUCGUAAGAUUGUAAACUCCUGUUAGAGGGGAAGAAUAGUACCGGUUGGACCGGUAUAUGACUGUACCCUCAGAGAAAGCCCCGGCUAACUACGUGCCAGCAGCCGCGGUAAUACGUAGGGGGCAAGCGUUGUCCGGAUUUACUGGGUGUAAAGGGCGCGCAGGCGGAAUGGAAAGUCAGUGGUGAAAUCCUACAGCUUAACUGUAGAACUGCCUUUGAUACUUUCAUUCUUGAGUUCGGGAGAGAGAGACGGAAUUCCAGGUGUAGUGGUGAAAUACGUAGAUAUCUGGAAGAACACCAGUUGCGAAGGCGGUCUCUUGGUCCGAUACUGACGCUGAGGCGCGAAAGCGUGGGGAGCAAACA
rnacentral:rRNA from 1 species